UACGUAGGGGGCAAGCGUUGUCCGGAUUUAUUGGGCGUAAAGAGCGUGUAGGCGGUCAGGUAGGUCCGUUGUGAAAACUCGAGGCUCAACCUCGAGACGCCGAUGGAAACCAUCUGACUAGAGUCCGGAAGAGGAGAGUGGGAAUUCCUGGUGUAGCGGUGAAAUGCGCAGAUAUCAGGAAGAACACCCGUGGCUAAGGCGGCUCUCUAGUACGGUACUGACGCUGAGGAGCGAAAGCGUGGGGAGCGAACAGG
rnacentral:rRNA from 1 species